AUGAGCUUCACUCGUCCUAAAGUGAGCGUCCUGCCGCCCUCCAGUGAAGAGAUUUCCACAAAGAAAACAGCAACACUGAUGUGUGUGCUCAACAAGGGUUUCCCCUCAGACUGGAGUGUGAUGUGGAAGGUGGACGGGAGCAGCAGAUCUCAGGACAGCAGUGUUGGGCUCCUGGAGAAGGACGGUCUGUACAGCUGGAGCAGCAGUCUGACUCUCUCUGAGCAGGAGUGGAGCUCAGUGCUCUCAGUGAGCUGUGAGGCCAAACACAAAGAUCCCAGUCAUACAGUCACUGGAGAAUUCAGGAGAGAUGAUGAGUGUUCACACUAG